GCAGCUUUUUCUCUUUUGCUGCAACUUCUCUUUUUUCUGCAGCUGUUUAUAUAGUAUUUUUGGAAAGCUAAUCAUAGAGCAGCUAUUCAUUCUUGGAAAGCUUGUUUGGAACCAGGCUCCGAAGAUGUUGAGAGGCUAUUCGUGGAGUGCUUUUAAUUACAAUUACUGACCUUGUGUUUAAAACUGAUGCUAAUCGUCCAUGAUAGCUGUCUUUUUUUUUCACUAUCCAGCACAAUCGUGGCAGGGACUUAUACCGAAAUAAAUAUUCCUGCUGUAAUUAUAUAUGUCUGCAUUUCGCUAUUCAAUAUUCAAUACUUCUUACUCUUCAUGUUUGAUUCAUAUUACAAAAAGUUGAUGUUUGCCCACUUCUAGUUGGUACUUCUGCAAGCAUAAGCGCAUCGGAAAAGCAAUAAUGGCUAGGAACAACAUCAUGGUGCUGGCUCGAGCUGCGCACAUGUGCUCUGGGCAUUUUGUUACGAGGCCAUUGAAAAUGCCCGAGAAGUGUUAAGUGCCUAUUGUAAUGAGAACAGUUGUUUGUCUGGCUGGCGGGAGGAAGUAAACACCAGUGUCAUUCAAGGAAAACACGUGCUGGCAAUGUGCGCUGUCGAAGGCGAUAAGCAACAAAUUGCGAGAGCAGCUUUGAGGGCCCAGGCGUUUUCUUUCCACGAACAAUCCACAGGCACUGGCUCAGAUAGGCUGGCUUUGUGCCCGCAUUUCCAACUGCACGGUGCGGGUACGCAACCGAGUAUGGUUAGUGCAGCAUGGUGCGUAACCUUGAGAAUGCAGUCAGAAAAAAAAAAAAAAAAAAAGAAAGCAGUGACCUGCUGGUUGGUCUGCAUCCCAUUUGAGUGAGAAGCUGCGAACCAACUUGCAAUGGGCUGAAUGCUCACACUGGGCAUCCACAUCAGACGGAGGAUCGCAGGAAGAUGGAGGCUCAAAGUGAUCUACAGAGGUCAAACAAGGCUUGUCAGUGGAGCCAACGUUUUAGCAUGUGGACUUGUGUUUGUCGGCACAGCAACUGCUUUCCCUGACAACAUUUAUGCGCACAAAGGCCACUCUGACAUGACACUGUCAACUUUUCAUUUGUUUUGCAUAAAGUGAUGGUCCAAAACUGCUAAAUCCUAUAUCAACUUGUCAUUUGCUUUGCAUUAAGUGAAGGUCUAAAACCUGUUAAAUCCUAGAUAAAGUACUGUCAAUAUGAUUAUCAGUGCUGUGGUAAGCCUACAAUGUGGAAAAAGGUUCGUAAACGGUAAAGUUAACAUCCACCUUACUUGUAGCACUAACAUCCUUGUAGACUAACAGCUUCCGUAGAACUCAUUUGCUGUAUUCAAUGACCCGUACUUUGAUUCGUCGAUUAAUUCGGCAUUAUGCAGCAGUCGGCCAGUCUCCUGGUUAGCUCAGAUGGUGGAACAACCAUCCCAGAAAGGCAUUGGUCCCAUAUUUGAUCCCUGGACCGUGAUGAAUUUUUCUUCAACUGCAAAGCUUCCUUUUUGCACAAACCCGUAUGGGUUUUCGUUGUAGCUUUGUGCUACAGGUCUGGUGCAUGUUAAAGUACUGUCAACCGUCAGAGUGCUCUAAAUAAUUUACUGUAAUACUCGUUCCUGCGAACCAGUUUCAUUGUCGGUACCCAGGAGGUAAGUGUGUCAUGACGUCAUGAUGCACUGGCUCAUUUCAUCCCAGCUGCCACAUGGGCCAGCAGCCAGAUACCACUGCAGCCAGAACAAGUGCAUGCAACACUGUUGUGAAUUUUUUUUUUAAACGAAAAUAUUGGUGUACCUAGCCUUAUUGCUACACAACGUUAAAAAAAUUCACUGUUUCCAUUACCAAGUUUCAGCUUUGUCUAACCUUUACAUCACUGAUUUAUAGCAACUGGUGAAGUAUUCUUUCAGACAUUUUUUCAUUAAUUUGGCAGAAAAAUGCUCAUUACUAGCUUAUAAAACAGAUCAGCAGCAUAUGACAAAGCCAUGUGCAACAAUGCAUCACAAAAGCUUGUUUAAGUUUGUUUAGGUGAGUUUGGGCAUAUUGAAAUAUUACCUAAUAUAUCAAACUACAAUUUGCGCGUAAGCCUGUUUGUUAUAAGUGCGUUUGACUGUACACUAAUUCAUUUUGAUAUUUAAAAAAUUCUUAUGAAUUUAUUUUACAUACCCUCAAGGCACCUAGGUAUUGUAGAGGGGAGUGGGGUACAUGUGUACAACAAUGACAAGAGUAAUUAUAAAUUUGCAUAAUACUGGCGACAUUUGUGCUGAAAACAACAAAGUUGGCAGAA